GUGCGUUGUGGCGAGGUGGAAGGCGGCGAACUCCGCCAUGGAGAUGAGGACCGAGAUCGCAUCGCCGGAUCUGAAGAGGCGGCAGGUGGAUUCGAGGCAGGCGAGAUUAGCGUGAGGGCGCCAAAGGGGACCAUAUGAGGCUUAUGUGCAUGUGUUGGUUGGCACUGAUGAAGCGGUUGACUGGGACGGGGGCAUGGCGGUUGAUGGGGAAGAGGAGGAGAAGGGGCAUCGAACCGUGGUCGGAGACCUGCCUG
rnacentral:misc_RNA from 1 species